rnacentral:lncRNA from 1 species
CGGAGGGAUGAGGAAUCCUUCAGGGUCGCCUAGCAUGUGCCCUCGGUAGUAUUAAACCAUUCGGCCCACGUUUCAGGGCCUGCAGACGCCCUGAAGUUCAGUGACUAAAGUCACUGAAGUUCAGUGACUAAGGCAGACGCCUUAGUUCAGUGACUAAACUCGAGGUACUGACGUCCACGGGUGUCCCACUCGCGGGUGGGGCGAGAGUAGGUGCAUUCAGGCCCUGAAUUCCCGCAUUCAUCCUGCUAUUGUCUGCACAUUUGCUUUGUCAGAAUCAAUCACUAGUCCCACUCCUCUACCCACUACCAUCCUUGCCUUUAGAGGAACAUCAAUAUUCACGUAUAAAUUUAAAACCAGUACAAAGAGCUGACUCCCCACUUUCUGCCCUACAGGCCUUUUUCUUCCUUGGCCCGAGUGCAGGCCUGGCUCCCGAGCGAGUCCUGGGUGGCGCCGUCAAUGCGGCCCUGUGUGUCCAGCCCCCGCGGGCCGCAGAACCAGGAGAGGGAGACGCAGGCCCCGCCCCCGGCCCGCCAGCGCCCCGCCCACGGCUCCCAUUGGCUGCCGGGCUCUCGGGGUGCCGGUCACGGCCCCCGCGAAAGGAUAAUAGGCUGUUUCUGCCCUAGUCCCGGCAUUCAGGACGCCGAAACCAGAGGUGACCGGAGCUACAGCCAAGGACCACUGACGGUUGAACAGCUGUUUCCUUGGCUUGCAGACUGUGUGGUAUAAGGUACAUGUUGUGGGGGAGACAAAAGCUUCCUACCUUGAUAAAUGCAGAGCAAAGGCGCCAUUCUGUCAUUGGAGGCAGCGCCGCCAAGAAUACAAAGUGCCUGGAGGUGGUCCAGCCUCUGCCGCAUUUGUUCUGGCAUCAGAGCUGGUAUUGGGAAGGAAGACAUUUUCCUCUACCCUUCUAAAUUCUUCUUGCUGGUCUAAGAAUUAAAGAAACAUGAGACAGGUAAACAGGAGAAAUUUAAGUCAAGUUUGAAAACAUAUAUACAUGGGAGAGACCCAGGAAAACUGUCACUCACCAAAAUGUGGAAGAUGUUGAGAGCAGUGGUUUGGGGCUUCAGAGGGGAGGAAGCAGUUCACACAGAGAUGGUGAACCAGCGUUUGCUGUGCCAGCAGAGGUGAUGGGACACGGAGUGGACUCAGGUCUCCUAGCGUUCCCCCCGCCCUCCCUUGCCCCUGGCCCACAUUCCUUGCUGACCUCUCUCUCUGGUGGUUGCUCCUUUCCUGUAAUAGGCCCUCCAUCUAAAUUCUAAUUCAGGCAGCUACGGGAAUUUCUUCCUGAGUCCUGGGGGCCUUGAUUGUUUUCAGAUGAAAAUAAUCUGCAUCCCAGAGAGAUUUUGGGGUGGCAAGUCUUGCUCCCGACAGUAACUUCAUCAGAUGAUUGUAUAAUACCUUCAAAUUCAAGGUCCCUUUCCUUGGUCUUCUUUUUCAAAAAAAUUGUGGCAAUUCUACCAUAUUUAUUUUUUCAGUUGAAUUUUCUAGCCAUUAUUUGGUCAUGUUCUUCACCGCCCCCCACCAAAAGUCAGAAACAUUUUUGUUAAAAAUGAGUUAAAUUUAUAUAUCCAUUUGAAAGAAAUUUCCUACAUUUUAUGACCUCAGUAGCUUUUGGAAGGACCUACACUUUUUGUUACUAAACUUAUGCUUAGAAAUAUGUGUGUGCUGCUGUAAAACAGGACUUUUCUGCUACAUUUUCUAACUGCUUAUUGACAAAACAUAGGAAUAUUAUUGACUUCUGUAUCCUUAUUUGGCUCCUGUUCACGUAAUUAAUUCAAAACCUUG